rnacentral:lncRNA from 1 species
CAAAAUGGGCUCGACCCGGAAGAACCCGACCGGCACUCAGAUUCCAAUUUGGAUAGCACCAAAACCUUGAUCUGUGCCCUCAAUUUUCUCUCCCGGAAUUUGCCCUUGCCCCAACAUGUCUACGACGCCGUUUCCUCUAUUUACCUUUGUGCCGCCGACGAUGGAGGCGGUGAUGGCGUUUUGGUCGAUGACGUCAUCGAAAGGGCUGAGGUUGGAGUUGAAUCCUCCGUGGAAGGUCUCCAGAAGGAUGAGAUUACUACUCCACGGAGAAUGGUGAGUUGUUUUAUUUUAUUUUAUGUUGUUAGUAGAUUUAGAAGUGUUUUUAGUUUGUUUGAUUUUAUUUUCAUGUAAACUUAAUAUAGAGAAAUCAAGGUUUCAGCUUCAAUUUUCUUAUUCUUUCUUGAUCCUUUUUUUUUUUUUUUGGGUUCUUGAAUUUGGCAGUUGGUUUUGUAAUCGAGUCUAUUUGGUUCUAAUUAUAUAUUGUGAGAGAGAGAUUUUAGCUUUGAGCUGCUUCCUUCUUUCUUUUUGAAGUUCUGAGUUUUGUUAUUAGGUUUAGUAAUUGAAGCAAUUUGUUGGGAGUAAAGUGUUCCGGAAUCUUUGUUUCUUUCUGAUUUUGGACUAUCAUGGGUUUAGGAGUAUAUCUAAUUCAUUCCUUUGAAAUUGUGAUUAUCGAUGUAUUUGUUUUGAUCUAAUGCUUUGGGAGUGUGAGAUAUUUCUCAGUUAUGUGCAUUAAUGCUAUGGAUGAUUGAGAUCUGGAUAUUCUGCUCGAAAUGGUAUAAGCAGCAUAUACGAGUAGAAACGUUGACUAAGCUCCUCAUUUUAAGAAACUUGACCAGUGAGAUUGAUUUUCUGUUAAAGAAAAAAAAAGAACAAAUAUUCUCUUAAGUUAAUUGCGGCGGCAAAGAGAAAAGUGGGAUUGGGACAAAUUGAAAGUUUUUAACUUUUUCUAGAUUUUGUUUCUUUUUAUAUUCAAAUUUGUUUUGUGGUUGGUUUUCAAUUCAUUAUUGUGAGAGUUCGUUGGUGUUACACGAACAAAAAUAUCUAGAUGUACUACGUGUACAUUGGUUAUUGAUUGAACUUGAUUUGUAAUAAACAGCCGUAUUUGAUAACCCGACAUUCUCUAACAUUGAGAUCUAGCUGUAUCUAUCCAAUAGUGGUUGGGUAGGGCCGACUCUUAAAAGGAUUGACCACUGAGUAGCUGUUGAAAGAUUUUACCUCGUAUACUCAGAACUGAAUUUCUUUGGAGACUCCAGAAUAUGCUAAAAAGUCAAAUACACGGAAAGUCCCAACUACGAGGAUUAUUUCACUCCUAAGUUCAAGCUUGGUUUGUGCAAGAAUAGGUUUAGUGCUGAAAGCAAGUGGACAAAUAGGUUGUUUUCGACGAAUCCAUUGCUUGAGAAUCAAUUGAUUGCAUUGCUCUUGCGCUAGAGCAACAUAAGGAAAUUUUGUCCAUUCCUGCUUUCAGGAAACUGUCUGAACCAGAUCAAUAGAAUAUCACGCAUGCACAAUUACUAUGCCUCAAGUUCUAGUAAAUUUAAAUUUGUGAUUUUUAACUUACAGUUUUUACACUGAAAUUCGAUGAUUUUUGCUUUGUAAUCCUUAAAUUUGUAUAAAUGUUUCUAUUUCAUUUUCCAGGAAUAAAGACAUAGUUUUAUUAAUUUUGGCUCUUAAAUGUUUGAAUUGAUUUUUGGAUUCUGUAUUUCCCCGGAUAACAAGAAACAUUUUUAUCAUUUGAAUAUUUCAGUUUGAUGUAAUGGCUUUGUUCCCUAUAUGCCCUUUUUAUACUUGCAUCUGGGUAUUAAUAUUUAUAACAGCGGUGCUCUGGGAAGUGAGAAUUUUUUUCUUAGUUCCAUUUGCACAUAAACUAAAGAAUCUCAUGUCUAAGUGAGUGCUGAGAAGAGGGAGUUAUGGACCAAGGCUAACGUGGCCUGUUGUAGUUGUUAAGUAUAUAGUAGUAGCCCCCCAAUGGAAUGAAACAAACAGAAUGGAACAAAAUGAUUCAUGUACCCGAGACCAAGGCUAACGUGGCUUGUUGUAGUUUCUAAGUAUCUAGUAGUGGCACAAGAGGAAUGAAACAAAUAGAGUGGAACAAAAGGAUUCAUGUUCCAGAUUCCAUAUUUAUUGUUCAUAAGGCUCAACUUGUUGUUUGUCAUUGUUGUGUUCGGACAAAUUUUGACCAAAGAAUAAUUCAGACGUCAGGAAUAAGUUGUACAAGUAUUUAUCCAUAUCGAGAAUUGAUUGUGUAUAUCACAUGAGAGAGGGAGAUGUAAGUAAAAUUACCAUCUUGACCCGUAGCCAUAUAUAUGUAAUGAAACUUUUCUUUCCAAUCCUUCUAAGUAGUAUCUCUGCACAACUUUUAUUAAGUAAUUUAUCAUCUGUGUUGCUAUGUGGCCCUCUUGUACUUUUCUCUGUUUGGACCAUAUCAGUGGUUAAACCAUAUUUCUCAAAUAUAUUUUUUCUUUUUUAAUUAUCUCAUUGUUCUUAAUAUUGGGUUGCCCUAUUUCCUUGCAUUUACCAUCUAGUCUAUAAUUAUUUACAAUACAGAAAGUAAUUUGGUUUUGUAAUAUUAUUCUAAACUCCAUUUUUCUUUUCCUUACUGGAUUUCCACUUUUGCUUCAUAUCAAAAUUGGAUUUGUAACAACAAUGUGAUACAGGAUGGUUCUGGUGGUUCAAGUUACAAUGAUUUAAUGUUGGACUUCGAGGAUGCCGUGUUAAAGCAACAAUCUUGCAUGUCUGGUUCUAGAUUAAACGAGUUAAAGGAAAACCGCUUUCAAAGCCAAAUCCAGCACCGGUUAGCCGAACUUGAAGGUAGCUAUUUUCAUGAGUAAUUCUAUCCUAGACAUUGUUUUGCAAAUAAAUUAAUUCUGCUGCAUGACUUAAGGCCCAAUUUGUAUGGUUGUGCAGUUUCUCAUGAUAUUGAAGUCCUGAACCUCUCUAUCUUAUAUUGCACAUUGUGGAAAAAUUUCCUAAAAGCACUCAUCAGAGCAAUGUUGUUUGACCUUGUAAUUUGUUUUGCUCAAUUUCUUUUUGUUAUUUACCACCGCCUUGCGUGUAUUCUUAAUCUUCCUUUAGCUUUUCAAAGGUCUUUCGUAUGGAUAUUUUUCCAUUUUUUGGUGGUAAAUUUAUCUUCGUAUGCAGUGUAUUUUGACUUAAAUCGCCUAAUAUAAUUGUGUAUAUCCAAACCCUCGUUACUUCAUUCUUUUUUUGUUUCGUAUUCCCUUCUUUUCCUAAAAAAGAUAUCCUCGGCUACUUUGAACAAUAAGAGUUUUACCUUUCAAUGACAGUACGAUUUUAGACUUGUUUUCACAUUUUAUACAAUCAUUUGAUCAUCAUUAUUUUAAUGAUAAUCACUUGAUUUACUCUAUCCUCUCCCUGUUUUUGUGUUGAAAACCAGGAUGAUUGGAAAAUGAACUUCCAAUAUGGUUCUUGUUUUUAGGAGUACAGCAGCGACAACAAGCUAGGCCUUAUAUCGAACAAUUAUUGACUUGAAAAUCUGUCUUGUUUUCUGUUUAUACCUUCAAGCCCCUCCUGGAUGGUUGAAAAACAAGUCACUCAUAUGGUUUUACCGUAAUUUUUUUAUUGAAAGACACAUUUAAAGUGAGAAUUUGUUUGUUGUUGUCUAUCCUGUAGCUGAUGGUGGGUAUAUUGGGAUGCUGACUUGGGUAGGGAUGCAAGCAUGAUCACAGUUAUUUAUAUACAUAUGUAUAUACCCUAUUCAGUUCCAUAAAUGCUGUUCUUCUGCAAUAGACAAUUAUUAUCCUAAAAUAGCAUACUAUACUUCAAGGAUGUGCCUAAUAACUGUUUUGAUGCAUCUCUUUAACUUAUUUUGGAGUUAUGCCAUACUUCUUUGUGAAUGAUUUUUCGUGCUUUCAUUUUGAAACAGGAUUGCCAACAAGCAGAGGUGAGGACCUCCAGUCUAGGUGCUUGGUUGAACUCUACGGGCUUAAGGUAGCGUUUAAUUGUUUACUGUGCAUGAAUUUAUAUUAAUUGUGACUAGGUCCACCAUAAUCAUUAAAUUUAAAUGAAAUGGAGAAGGUGGAUGUAUUUCGUGACAAUAAACCCCUGUUUGAGACCCAUUUUUGUGGGAAAAUGUGUUUUGGAAUAGGGUUUUUUUUUUUUUUUUUUUUUUUUUUUUUUUUUUUUUUUUAGAAACGGAUUUCAGAAUUAGUGGAUCAUAUACUUAAGUAUUCAUUCCAAUGCAAUGCAUGCUAUCAAUUUAGCUCCGGUUUGAUGGUCAUUAUUUUGAGAAAAUGAUGUUUUGAUUUUUUUUUUUUUUUUUUUUUGGGAAUAUGUGGUUAAAAAAUAAUGAAAAUUUUUGUUUUUACGUGUAAAAUUAUUUUAUGGGAGAAUGCAUGGUUGAAAAUGAAUUUUGAAAAAGCGGGUUUUGAAAAAAAUGGGGGUCAAACAGUGGCUAAUUGCUGUCCUGAAAAUCUGUCUACCAUGAGCAAAGUCUUGCGAGUAGAACUCCAUUUGUAACAUAGCAUUAUCUUUUUCGAGUAAAGUAGAUGUUUGUGGUUGUUCUUUUUUGGCCCAAAAAUAUUAUCAUGCUUAUGAUUAUUUUUUAUUUAUUAUUAUUAUUAUUAUUAUUUUUUCCGAUUAAUUUGCAACUCGGACCUCUAAUAGAAAACCAGAUGCUGUGAAACUAAUGCAACACCGAUUUGUCAUUGCUAAUUGGUUCCUGUAUGCAUACAAGUUGAAGGGGAAAAUCUGUUUGCAGGCUGACUGCAUCUCAUUUAAUCCAUCACAACUUGUUGAGAAGGAGUGUAUCAUUUCUUGUUCCAUGAAACAUUAACACACAGAAGCACCUUUUUAAUGCCGCCCUCUUCACCUAUAUGUCAGAUAUUAGUGGUUUAUAUUGCUGUUUAUCAUAAUUGAAUGACUUUUUUUCCCUAUCAGUUAGCUGAGCUACAGAGCAAAGUGCGGUCAGAAGUGAUUUCUGAAUAUUGGCUUCGUCUGCAUUGUGCAAAUCCAGAUAAGCAGUUGUUUGAUUGGGGAAUGAUGCGAUUGCGCCGUCCUUUAUAUGGUAUUGGAGAUGCUUUCGCUAUGGAAGCUGAUGAUGCCCUGAAGAAAAAACGAGAUGCUGAGGUGAGUAGGUUUUCUGCUAGCGACUGUUCAUUGGUUGGCAGAUAUGAAUGAAUCCUGCAACUUUCUCUUUCUAGACUCAUAGCUGAGAAAUGACAUGUAUUUAACUGCUGAGGGGAAACAAUAUUAAUUGAACUGCAAAUAUCUUCAAUAUAUCUGUUGCAGAGGUUGUCAAGAUUAGAGGAAGAAGAGAGGAACCGUGUAGAAACUAGUAAAAGGAAAUUCUUUGCUGACUUACUCAAUGCUGUACGGGAACUCCAAUUGCAAGUACAGGCUGCCCAAAAACGCCGGAAACAAAGAAGUGACGGUGUCCAGGUAUGCUGCCUUACUUUCUACUAUUUAUUUUCCCAUCAUUUUCUUUAAACUAACAUCUUCCCGUAGGGUAUAUAAAUGUAAUAUUGAAGCAGAUAUUGCACAAACAAAGAAAAUAUUGGAGGCUAAAAAAUGUUAUGCCAAUGGUUGAUCCUCUUGUUUUGUUUAAUGUGUAUGGUUUCUGGUCAUUAGUGUUAAGUGGUUAAGCCUAUUACUCAUUAUUACUCCAAAUAAAUGGCAUGUUAUUUGAAUGAGUUUUUAUUUUUAAGAGGUUAAGCCACAUUUUGUGUUAUACUGUCAGUGGAGUUAUCCACUUUGGUCUCGUAAUUCUUGAGUUCUACCUUGCAUCUGAUCAAUUAGAGAAACUACUGAACCUUGCAGUUUCCAUCCAUGUCACACAUGGGUCCUUGGUGCCCUUGGCUUAUUGUAACCCUGUGAUUUUUUUAUGUAUGAUAGAUCAUAGAAGAUUAGAAGUUACAUUCUAGGAUAAGAUUCAAUUUAUUCUUACUUUUACAGGCUUGGCAUGGAAGGCAAAGGCAGCGAGCUACGCGGGCUGAGAAAUUGAGGUUCCAAGCUCUAAAAGCUGAUGAUCAAGAAGCUUACAUGAAAAUGGUUGAAGAGAGCAAAAAUGAAAGAUUGACAAUGCUUCUAGGAAAAACGAAUGAGCUCCUAGGUCGAUUGGGUGCUGCUGUCCAACGUCAAAAAGAUGCUGAACAUGACGGCAUUGAAGCCCUCCAAAAUUCAGACGCUGACUUGCUUGAGUUAUCUGGUUCAAGGACUGACACGCCAGGGCAGUCACCUCCAGAGGAAGAUGAAGAUGUUGAUAAUGAUUCUGAUCGUCAAGUGAAGACAGGUGAUUUACUUGAAGGCCAGCGAAAGUACAAUUCUGCUGUACAUUCUAUUGAGGAGAAGGUAUUCUAUUACUAUCUUCAUAAUUUUAUUGAAAUUUAUGAGUUUUGGCUUACUGCUUUUGCAUCAAUUUGCUAAUGUCCUGAAAUGAAUGGAUUAUUGUGCAUGCAAAUGCGCAGAGGGAGGGACGGAGGGAGGGAAUUAUUGUUUGUAUAGCAAAAAAGGAAAUUGAAAGAAAGUAUUUUUAAUUUCCUUGUGUUGGUUGAGUACAAGUAUCAUGAGAAGUACUUUGUUGCAACAAAAUAUGUCCUGCCUUUUCUGGCUCCUUAUGAACACUUUCCUAUAUAAUUUUCAUUUCAUUCAAAUGGAGCCAAAGUGCAGGGGAAAAUUUACAAACUCUCUUGUUAUCCCUCUAUACCAACUGCAAUGGUAUUUUCUGGAUCUUAAGCAUCAUAACAUGUCUUGGAUGGCCAAAAGUUUGGCCGCAUCUUUUUUUUGCUAGUUCAUGAUAUUGUGAAAAUAUUGUGUAAUUGGAUAUACUAUUCUAGUUCAUAUAGUACUUAUUUUAUUUAUAUCUGAUCGAACCUUACAAGAAUCUUUGUAGGUGACUGAGCAACCAGCUAUGCUUCAAGGUGGUGAGUUAAGACCAUAUCAGUUGGAGGGGCUUCAAUGGAUGUUGUCUUUGUUCAAUAACAAUUUAAAUGGAAUUUUAGCUGAUGAAAUGGGGUUGGGGAAGACAAUUCAGACAAUAUCUCUGAUUGCUUAUCUCAUCGAAAACAAAGGUGUUACUGGGCCCCACUUGAUUGUGGCCCCAAAGGCUGUCCUACCAAAUUGGAUGAAUGAAUUUUCAACUUGGGCUCCUAGGUAUGCAUUUUCCCACCAUCCUCCCUGCCCCCGACCCCUUUACGACUAGUUUCUGUAUAAAUGCACAAGUGCUCAGAGACUCUGCUUUCAGUGUUGCUGCAGUUCUUUAUGAUGGGCGACUGGAUGAAAGAAAGGCAAUGAGAGAAGAGUAUUCAGGAGAGGGAAAGUUCAAUGUUUUGAUCACCCAUUAUGAUCUGAUUAUUAGAGACAAAGCAUUCUUGAAGAAAAUUCACUGGUACUACCUGAUUGUUGACGAAGGACAUCGACUUAAAAAUUAUGACUGUGUUCUUGCACGGACUCUUGUCUCUGGGUAUGUUGCAUCUCCAUCUCUUGAUUGAAAUUGCAGCAACCACCUUAUUCUCAAGCCUCAUCCUUUAAACGAUUGUGCUAGAUCUUUUGGAUGGCUUCUGCUAUUUGUUUUCCAAUUAUCUUGUGACCGAUGGUGAAUGCACCCACAAGUAUCAUAAGAGUUUACUUUUGCAAGUUAUGCCUAUUGAGUAUGUUUGCCUAAUCAAAGAGAUUGUGGAUUUUUUUCCUUGCUGAAUUAUUUUAAAGACAAUUUUUUGUUUUUUUAAUAUCAAAGAUGUAACCUAUUUAAUUUGACCCUGACCCAAUUAUUCAAUAUCCUUCAAUUGCAUAGCAGCAUCAAAUAUCAUGAUUAAUUUCAAAAGGAAAUGAUUUUCUAAAUGAUUCUUCAUCUGGACAGUUAUCGAAUUCGGCGGAGACUACUGUUGACUGGUACUCCCAUACAGAAUAGCUUGCAGGAAUUAUGGUCCCUGCUUAAUUUUCUCCUUCCUACUAUAUUUAAUUCAGUUGAAAACUUUGAGGAGUGGUUUAAUGCACCCUUUGCGGACAAAUGUGAUGUCAGUUUGACGGAUGAAGAACAACUAUUAGUCAUUCGGCGAUUGCACCAUGUAGGUAUUGGUUUUUUGGUGUGUUGUCUGUUAUACUAUUUGACUUUCUAAUGUGAACGUUUUUCUUCCUUUCCCUUUCUUUCUAAUAUACCCCCAGGUCAUAAGGCCAUUCAUAUUGAGGAGGAAGAAAGAUGAGGUGGAGAAGUACCUUCCAAUUAAACGCCAAGUCAUACUUAAAUGUGACAUGUCUGCCUGGCAGAAACUAUAUUAUCAGCAAGUGACAGAUGUGGGAAGGGUUGGAUUGGCUAGUGGUAAGUAGUUUUCAAUUGGCUGCUGCCUCUCUCUUUGUCUCUCACUGUGGUAUUAUUUUAUCUCCCACAAUGGCUUGUCUCGGGAUUGUUUUACUGUUAUAACUUUUUGUCUUGAUGCAAUAUCAUGUCCAUCAUCAUAACUGUCUUGCAUCCGUUAUACUUUCUCCCUACUUCUAUCACACCCUGUCCAGUCAUCGUUGUUAUCAGUUUAAUAUAUUUUGUUUUGUUUAUAUAAAUGAGGCAGGAUUUAUUUACAAUACCUGUAAGUCUAAUGAUUAUUAAUAUUACUCAUAUAGUACAAGUGUUUUUCAAGACCUAGCAUUGAUUUCACAAUGCAGCCUGUGUCCAUCAGAGUACAAAAUGUAAUUCUUCUUAACAGUGUUAAAAAUGAUGUCUUCCAUACUAUAUUGAAAUACUUGACCAAAGGGUCAUCUGUUGUUCCAUUGGCAAGUAUAAUCAUUAUAAAAAUAAAAGUCUGGUUAGCAGUAAAUACUUGUAUUCCUGGAAAAUAAAAAGAGUAUUGGUAGACUUGUGCUUUCUUAUAAUUUUAAAUAAAAAUGUUCUUAUAAUUUUAAAUAAAAAUGAAUAUAUGUGUUAAUCAGUCCGCCAUACAUUGUUAUGGACCAAGAAAAUGCUGCGUGUUAUUUAUUGGCUUCAUUUCUUGUAAGAAACAAAGGUGCUCCAAUAGUCCGUCUCAUUACUAACACAAACUGUAAUGUCAAUCUACACUCACACAAUGUUCUCUCAAUUUUUAUGUUUACCAAUCUACGCUGCUAUCUGAUGCAUGUGUUUGUUUUUUUCUGUUAUGUCCAUUCGAUUCUCUUGGUUUUCUCACCUUCCACGCUUUCCCAUAAAAGGAGGAUAAGAAAAAAUGUUGUUUUUGAACCUUUUUCUUUCCUUUUUUGGUUAGAUGAGUUUGCAAUAGCAUGAACUAUACAAUCUGUCCACCUAUGCUGGGACACAGCACUUUCCUCUCUGGGGGCUAUUACCUUUUUCUUAUAGGUGAAUUUCAUUGCUGAUGGUGUGAAUUUGCAGGAACUGGGAAGUCCAAAAGCCUACAGAACCUGACAAUGCAGCUCCGCAAAUGUUGUAACCACCCAUACUUAUUUUUGGGUGAUUAUAAUAUGCUGCGUAAAGAGGAGAUUUUCAGAUCAUCUGGAAAGUUUGAGCUUCUUGAUCGCUUACUACCCAAGCUUCGUAAAGCUGGGCAUAGAGUCCUCCUUUUCUCUCAAAUGACGCGGCUCAUGACCAUUCUUGGAUAUUAUCUGGAAUUACAUGGUUACAAGUUUCUUAGACUUGAUGGCUCAACAAAAACUGAAGACAGAGGGGAAUUGCUAAAAAAAUUUAAUGCUCCAGACUCUCCUUACUUCAUAUUUCUUCUAAGCACACGUGCUGGAGGACUUGGUCUGAAUUUGCAGACUGCAGAUACCGUGAUAAUUUUUGACAGCGACUGGAAUCCUCAGAUGGACCAACAGGCUGAGGAUAGAGCGCAUCGCAUUGGUCAGAAGAAGGAGGUGGCAGUUUUUGUGCUGGUCAGUGUUGGAUCAAUUGAAGAGGUUAUCUUAGAACGAGCCAAGCAGAAAAUGGGCAUUGAUGCCAAGGUCAUCCAGGCAGGAUUGUUCAAUACAACUUCCACAGGUUCGUCACUUGUGAAGAUCUGUACUCUCAUUUUACCUCCUAUUGAGAAUGGAAAAUUGGUUUAAAGAUAUGAAACGAGUGGAGCUGGUUGAAUAGAGAUUGGUCUAGAAUUGACAAAUGGGUCUAUCAUAUUUUGCAGAUCAUCUCCAUCACGAAGAUUUAAGGGAAACUUGCACCAUUGUUUUUUACCUAUUCUCCCCCAACCUUUAAAAAGGGGGAAGUUGGUCACCAAACUUUCUGUACAUUUUGUACCAUUAGUCCUUAAUGACGAAAACUGUCCAAAUCUUCAUUAAAUUGUUGGUUGACCCUCAUUGGAAACAUACCUUACUUCAAAUUUCUGCCCACCAGCCCAAGUUGGGAAGUUAAACCUAGCUUCAUGGAGUUGGACAUGUGGUUCACAUGACGAUUAAACAGAUAUUUGAAGGUUUCUGUCAUUAGGGACUGAUUGUGCAAUUAUAAUUACAGGCGAGGUCCCAAUGGUGCAAUUUUACCCUGAGAUAAAAUGAUGCGGUUGACAUAUCUACUUGAUUUUUGGACCAUUAAAUUGUUGUAUGCCAAUGAUGUGGAUGAUAAUUGUCUCGGGUGUAAUGUACUACUCAAUUUUCCAUUUAGGAGGUUACUUUAACAAAAAUUUCACACUUUCUUAUUGUUUAUUCCAAUUUGGAUAGCACCAAAACCUUGAUCUGUGCCCUCAAUUUUCUCUCCCGGAAUUUGCCCUUGCCCCAACAUGUCUACGACGCCGUUUCCUCUAUUUACCUUUGUGCCGCCGACGAUGGAAGCGGUGAUGGCGUUUUGGUCGAUGACGUCAUCGAAAGGGCUG